rnacentral:misc_RNA from 1 species
GGUUCAUUCACGUGUGACGGUCGGUGAUUGACUUAUGUUGACUUCUGUGAAGAAGCACAGCGCAAGGAUACGAUAGGAUUGGUUAUGUUUUUUUGCUGCAAGAGGAUAAUAUUAAAAUAGAAGAUUAUUUUCAGCGGCAGAUGACGACGAUGUCGAUUUUUAAUGAAAAUGACUCGGUACUGCUAGUAGGAGAGGGCAACUUCUCGUUCUCCGCGGCAUUGUCGCGACAGAAUUUGAACGUAGAGCUUACCGCUACCUGCUACGAGCCUAGCGCGAGCCAAGGGGUUGCAGAAAGAAACGUAGAUUACCUUCGAAGCAAGGGCAUCUGUGUAUUGUUUAAUGUGGACGCCACAAAAUUGGAGGAAUAUCCCUUGUUAAAGUCGCGAUUGUUUGACAAGAUCAUUUUUAAUUUUCCACAUGCCGGUGGUAAAAUGAGAAUAGAGAGAAAUAGGGACUUGCUGCAAGGCUUUUUCAUGUCGGUUGAAAAAAUGAUUAAAAAAAAUGGUCAAGUAUUAGUAACAUUAUGCAACGGACAAGGUGGAACGCCUAUGGAUGAACCCAGGAGACGUUGGGACGAUUCCUGGAAAAUUGUAGAGAUGGCUGCACAUGGAAAUUUUUUAUUGACAAGAGUUGAGCCAUUUUUGUGGCGAUCUUUUCAGGACUACAUUGUAACAGGUUAUCGCAGUUUAGACAAGCGGUUUCACACGGAGGGCUCGUUGACGCAUUUUUUCGCGAGAAGCGAGUCACCGACAGUGCACAAUAUUGCAUCUAGAAACAAGAUAGAUACUUUUAAGUACACUGUGGAUAAUAUUACAUGGAAAGACAUGAUAAGCGAUAUUCAAAAGAAAUUAGAUUUUAGUAUCAAAUGUAUUUAUCCAUGUUCUUUUACAUUCGAUUUAACUUUGUCGACUGACGGGGAUUUCAACAAAACUGAAUUUUAUCAGUCACUGUAUAAUUAUGCAGGAUCUAUAAUUGAAAAUAUAGAUUUGAUUGAUUGUUACCUGUCUCCUGUCGACAAAAAGAUAAAGAGAACAUACAGGAUAGAGUAUAAAUCAAAUUAUGUGCCGUUGUAUAAGAGAAGAGUUAUUGAAUUACAUCAGAAUGUAAUCGCGAAUUUUGUAGAAGAUAAAUUUAAAAUCACCAUCUCGAGAUAGUUUGUACACAGUUUAACACAUUUAUUUUGUCAAAAGUGAACCUAGAUUUGAUAAAAAAUGAUGCAUCGUCUUCGUCACUUGAAGAGCAUUAUCGCAUGCGGUACAAUUCAAAGGCAAGGCGACACCAUAUUUGACAGAAUCAGAUGCAAAAUUUUAAAUGGAGAGACAUUUAGAACAUUGUCAACUACUAUAUAUCUUUGCACGGCGAAACCCUUACGUAGUACAAAACCAAAAUCAAAGAGCAACACCGUGCAACAUUUUGUCGAUAUAAAAACGGUAAGAACAUUAUUUUGUGAAUUGAGAACAUUAUUAUCGUUCACAUUACGAUCGUUUAAUUAUUAUCAUAAUAUUGUAUAAUUAAUUUAUGCAUGAAUAAUUUAUAUUAGGUGAGAACGAUUGGAGGAAACGGUGGUGAUGGACAGAUAUCGUUUCUACGACUGUGGGUGAAUGAUCGAGCCGGUCCCGAUGGUGGUGACGGCGGCCACGGUGGUCAUGUAAUAUUCGAAGUAAGAUUAUAAUCAAUCCUGACUCUCACGCGCUUUUCUGUUUUAAAUCUUCAUAACUCGGAUCUUAAUCAAAAUUUUUAGACCAAAAUUGAUAUUUAGAGAUGAAAAGAGUUGAUUUUACAAGAAUUUAGUUGGCGAUGGGGGAAAUACCUAGGAAAAAAAAAAAAA